AAGAUAUUACCUCCGUCCCAAAAAGCUUGUCUUAGAUUUAUCUAGAUACGGGUGUAUCUAACACUACGUGUCUAGAUAGAUACAUCCGUAUCUAGGCAAAUCCAAGACAAGCUUUUUGGGGCGGAGGGAGUACAUG
rfam:Triticum aestivum genome assembly, contig: Triticum_aestivum_CS42_TGACv1_scaffold_159908_2DL